CCCUUAGAUGUCCUGGGCUGCACGCGCGCUACACUGACACAUGCAACGAGUUUUUCCUUACCUGAAAGGGUUGGGUAAUCUCCUUGAAAGUGUGUCGUGAUGGGGAUAGAUUAUUGCAAUUAUUACUCUUGAACGAGGAAUUCCUAGUAAGCACAAGUCAGCAGCUUGUGCUGAUUACGUCCCUGCCCUUUGUACACACCGCCCGUCGCUCCUACCGAGGGGGUGAUCCGGUGAAUGAUUCGGACUCUGGUGCUUCUAGCUGCUAGAUGCGCCGGAGGAAGUUUUGUGAACCUUAUCACUUGGAGGAAGGAGAAGUCGUAACA
rnacentral:rRNA from 1 species